rnacentral:pre_miRNA from 1 species
AUAUGCCUGGCUCCCUGUAUGCCGCUCGCAUGGCUGCCAACCUCUCUCGUUGUUGGCCGCUGCGUACGGCGUGCGAGGUGCCAAGCAUGG